AGCUAUGGCCAUAGAAGCUAUGAAACAUCGCAUCCCGUUAGUUCUGCGCAAUUAAGUUGGCUAUCGCUCGGUUAGUACCAAUGUGGGGGACCAUUUGGGAAUCCCGAGUGCUGUAGUUU
rfam:Cryptococcus bestiolae CBS 10118 unplaced genomic scaffold supercont1.1, whole genome shotgun sequence.